AUCCAAUUGCGGAGGAAAAGAAACUAACAAGGAUUCCCCUAGUAACGGCGAGUGAAGAGGGAAGAGCCCAAGAUUGAAAGCUGGCGUCUUCGGCGUCCGCAUUGUAAUCUCAAGAAGUGUUUUCCGCUUCGGACCAUGCCUAAGUCCCUUGGAAAAGGGCAUCAUAGAGGGUGAUAAUCCCGUACAUGGCAUGGAGCGCCCGAAGCUUUGUGAUACGCUUUCUAAGAGUCGAGUUGUUUGGGAAUGCAGCUCAAAAUGGGUGGUAAAUGCCAUCUAAGGCUAAAUAUUGGGGAGAGACCGAUAGCGAACAAGUACAGUGAUGGAAAGAUGAAAAGAACUUUGAAAAGAGAGUUAAACAGUACGUGAAAUUGCCAAAAGGGAAGGGUAGGAGGUCAGAGAUGCGUUCUGGGAUUCAGCCUUGCUUUUGCUUGGUGUUUUUCCCAAAUUGCAGGCCAACGUCGGUUUUGGGCGCUGGAGAAGGGUGGAAGGAACGUGGCACCCCUCGGGGUGUGUUAUAGCCUUCUACUGGAUACAGUGACCGAGACCGAGGACAGCAGCGUACUCGCAAGAGCGGGCCUUCGGGCACCUUUACGCUUAGGGCGUUGGCAUAAUGGCCCUCUACCACCCGUCUU
rnacentral:rRNA from 1 species